AACGAUGAAACUUAAAUGAAUUCUUCGGAAUGAUUUUAAUUGGAUUAGUGGCGAACGGGUGAGUAACGCGUGAGUAACCUGCCUUACACAAGGGGAUAGCCUCUGGAAACGGAGAAUAAUACCCUAUGAAACUAUCUUAUCGCAUGAAAAGAUAGUCAAAGUGUUUUAGCGGUGUAAGAUGGACUUGCGUCUGAUUAGCUAGUUGGUGAGAUAACAGCCCACCAAGGCAACGAUCAGUAGCCGGCUUGAGAGAGUGUAGGGCCACAUUGGGACUGAGACACGGCCCAGACUCCUACGGGAGGCAGCAGUGGGGAAUUUUGCACAAUGGGGGCAACCCUGAUGCAGCGACGCCGCGUGAUUUAGAAGGCCUUCGGGUUGUAAAAAUCUUUUGUAUAGGAAGAAAAUGACAGUACUAUACGAAUAAGGUCCGGCUAAUUACGUGCCAGCAGCCGCGGUAAUACGUAAGGACCGAGCGUUGUCCGGAAUCAUUGGGCGUAAAGGGUACGUAGGCGGUUAGAAAAGUUAGAAGUGAAAGGCUAUAGCUCAACUAUAGUAAGCUUUUAAAACUGUUUAACUUGAGAGAUGGAAGGGAGAGUGGAAUUCCUAGUGUAGCGGUGAAAUGCGCAGAUAUUAGGAGGAAUACCGGUGGCGAAGGCGACUUUCUGGCCAUUAUCUGACGCUGAGGUACGAAAGCGUGGGUAGCAAACAGGAUUAGAUACCCUGGU
rnacentral:rRNA from 1 species